rnacentral:rRNA from 1 species
CCACGCCGCGGUAAUUCCAGCGCCAGGGACUAGCGUAUAUUAAAGUUGUUGCAGUUAAAAAGCUUCGUAGUUGAAUUUCGGGAUCAAUGUUUCGGUCAUGCCGUUGGUAUGUACUGAUAUUAUUGAUUUCUCACCUUCUAAAGAACCGUAAUGCCAUUAAUUUGGUGUCACGGGGAAAUUAGGACCGUUA